UACGUAGGGCGCGAGCGUUGUCCGGAAUUAUUGGGCGUAAAGAGCUCGUAGGCGGUCUGUUACGUCUGCUGUGAAAACCCUGGGCUUAACCCUGGGCUUGCAGUGGAUACGGGCAGACUAGAGGCAGGUAGGGGAGAAUGGAAUUCCCGGUGUAGCGGUGAAAUGCGCAGAUAUCGGGAGGAACACCGGUGGCGAAGGCGGUUCUCUGGGCCUGACCUGACGCUGAGGAGCGAAAGCGUGGGGAGCGAACAGG
rnacentral:rRNA from 1 species